rnacentral:rRNA from 1 species
AGUGAACGCUGGCGGUAGGCCUAAUACAUGCAAGUCGAACGGCAGCACAGUAAGCGCUUGCUCUUAAGGGUGGCGAGUGGCGGACGGGUGAGGAAUAGAUCGGAAUCUACUUUUUCGUGGGGGAUAACGUAGGGAAAGUUAUGCUAAUACCGCAUAUGUUCUACGGGUGAAAGCAGUGGAGCUUCGGGCUUUGGGUGACUGAAUUAGCUGAUGUCGGAUUAGCUAGUUGGCGGGGUAAAGGCCCACCAAGGCGACGAUCCGUAGCUGGUCUGAGAGGAUGAUCAGCCACACUGGAACUGAGACACGGUCCAGACUCCUACGGGAGGCAGCAGUGGGGAAUAUUGGGCAAUGGGCGCAAGCCUGAUCCAGCCAUACCGCGUGGGUGAAGAAGGCCUUCGGGUUGUAAAGCCCUUUUGUUGGGAAAGAAAAGCAGCAGAUGAAUCCCCCGCUGUUCUGACGGUACCCAAAGAAUAAGCACCGGCUAACUUCGUG